CCUACGGGCGGCAGCAGUGGGGAAUAUUGCACAAUGGGGGAAACCCUGAUGCAGCGACGCCGCGUGAGUGAAGAAGUAUUUCGGUACGUAAAGCUCUAUCAGCAGGGAAGAAAAAAAGUCCUUUGGACUUUGGACGGUACCUGACCAAGAAGCCACGGGUAACUACGUGCCAGCAGCCGCGGGAAUACGUAGGGGGCAAGCGUUAUCCGGAUUUACUGGGUGGAAAGGGAGCGUAGACGGGAGCGCAAGUGUGGAGUGAAACGCCGAGGCCCAACCCCGGAAGUGCUUUGGAAACUGGGGAGCUGGAGUGCAGGAGAGGUGAGCGGAAUUCCUAGUGUAGCGGUGAAAUGCGUAGAUAUUAGGAGGAACACCAGUGGCGAAGGCGGCUUACUGGACUGUAACUGACGUUGAGGCUCGAAAGCGUGGGGAGCAAACAGGAUUAGAUACCCGUGUAGUC
rnacentral:rRNA from 1 species